UACAGAGGUCCCAAGCGUUGUUCGGAUUCACUGGGCGUAAAGGGCGCGUAGGCGGUUCGUACAGUCAGACGUGAAAUUCCUGGGCUCAACCUGGGGGCUGCGUUUGAUACGUGCGGACUUGAGUGCGGAAGAGGGUCGUGGAAUUCCCAGUGUAGAGGUGAAAUUCGUAGAUAUUGGGAAGAACACCGGUGGCGAAGGCGGCGACCUGGUCCGAUACUGACGCUGAGGCGCGAAAGCUAGGGGAGCAAACGGG
rnacentral:rRNA from 1 species